ensembl:snRNA U6 U6 spliceosomal RNA
AUACUCAUUUCAGUAGCACACAUACUAUAAUUAGAAUGAUACAGAGAGGUUUAGCAUGUCUCCUGCACAAGGACAACGUGCAAAUUUCUGAAGAAUUCCACAAAUGC